rnacentral:lncRNA from 1 species
GAUUAAACACUUCCAAUGAUAAGAGAUCUGUUGUGAAACUGAACACCCCGUGUUAAUAAGUUAGUUUGACAUUUGUUUUUUAUGAGCCGGGCCCCCUGUGCCUCUAGUAUACUUGUAUUGACUCUCAUAGUUACCCUUUUAGUUUGACUGUGUUCUGUGAAAAUUUGUAAUUGGUUGAGAAUCACUGUGGGCGUCCAUUCUUAUUCAACUAAAUCUCCACAGGUUUUUGAGCUGGUGUGGAUUAGUUUAACUCUUGUAUUCAACCAUUAGUGCUACCACCGUCUCACAUUACAAUACAAUUACUGGAAGCAAGUACUGCAUUUCCUAUGCAACAAAAAAGGAAAAUAAAAAAUUGCUAAUGCUAUGGAAGCUGUGUCAUCAUUUGCUUUAAAUCACACCUGGAAGGUGACAUUUGAGUGAUAGUUAUGGGUGUGGAUCAGAGUUUCCCCUAAAGACAGCCAGUCUUUGCACCCGUCGCUUGCAUCAUCCUUGACAGAUGUCAGGCACCCUCCACAGGGUUCUCAUGAGCCAUGUUGGCUUUUUUACCUAUUUGUGUGUGUGUGUGUGUACUCAGUCACUCAGUUGUGUUAUUUACCUUUAUGUCUUGUCUUUGCCAUUGGACUGAAAGCUUCUUGGAGGCAGGGAUAAUAUCUUAUUAUCUGCAUCCCUGGAUCUUAGCACAUCCAGUGUACCUAGAACUUGUGUGUGUGUGUGUGUGUGUGUGUGUGUGCGCGCGCACACUCAGUCUUGUCUGAGAGUUUGCAGCCCUGUUGACUGUAGCCUGCCAGGCUCCUCUGUGCAUGGGAUUUUCCAGGCAAGGAUACUGGAGUGAGUUGCCAUUUCCUCUUCCAGGGGAUCGUCCUGACACAGGGAUCAAACCCUUGUCUCUUACAUCUCCUGCGUUGGCAGGCGGAUUUAUUACCACUGCAGCACCUGGGAAACCCCUUUUACCUACUUGCUGCUGCUACUGCUUCUAAGUCGCUUCAGUCGUGUCCGACUCUGUGCGACCCCAUAGACGGCAGCCCAUCAGGCUCCACCGUCCCUGGGAUUUUCCAGGCAAGAACACUGGAGCGGGUUGCCAUUUCCUUCUCCAAUGCAUGAAAGUGAAAAGUCAAAGUGAGGUCACUCAGUCGUGUCCAACUCUUAUCGACCCCAUGGACUGCAGCCCACGUCCAUGGGAUUUUCCAGGCAGGAGCACUGGAGUGGGUGCCAUCGCCUUCUCCGUUUACCUACUUAGACAAAUGCAAAACUUCACACUGACAUAGUACCUAUUGUGUGCUUGAGGCUGUUCUCAGUGCUUUAGAUUUCUUGUUGUUCACUUGCUAAGUCAUGUCUAACUCUGCAACCCCAUGGACUGCAGCAUGGGUGCCAUCGCCUUCUCCGUUUACCUACUUAGACAAAUGCAAAACUUCACACUGACAUAGUGCCUAUUGUGUGCUUGAGGCUGUUCUCAGUGCUUUAGAUUUCUUGUUGUUCACUUGCUAAGUCAUGUCUAACUCUGCAACCCCAUGGACUGCAGCAUGGGUGCCAUCGCCUUCUCCGUUUACCUACUUAGACAAAUGCAAAACUUCACACUGACAUAGUGCCUAUUGUGUGCUUGAGGCUGUUCUCAGUGCUUUAGAUUUCUUGUUGUUCACUUGCUAAGUCAUGUCUAACUCUGCAACCCCAUGGACUGCAGCAUGCCAGGCUCCUCUUUCCUCCACUGUCUCCCAGAGUUUGCUCAAAUUCAUGUCCAUUGAGUCGAUGCUUUAGAUAGUGUAUCAGUUAAGGCCCAGUCUGGAGCCAGGAAAAGGGUCCAGUCAGUUUUUCCAACACGAGUACAGCCACCACCCCUGGAGUUAGAGAAACAAAAAUGAAAGGUUGGGUUACCAGACCAGAAGCUCCAAGGAGGGACUCCCUACAGAUACUUGGAUCUUUACUGAGAGGAGUCACCGUGAGGCCCUCACGAGUCACCACACGGCCCUUACUCAGACCUCUCAGAGGAUGUGGGCAGCUGAUGCUGGGCCCUCAAGGGGGUCACAGCCACAGGUACCAGCACUUCAGAGGCAGUAAAGCGUGACUGGUGCUGGGAGAGUUGAAAGGAGCUGGGGCGGUUUGCACCUCUAUCCUCUUAGCUAUCACGCUGUGUGUUGAAAAUGAACACACAGUGAAGUUCCCUCCCUCCGACUCCUAGGCUCCUGCCAGAGUUUCUCAUCGGCUUUAUCGAAACAGAGCCAUCCAGCAAAGGAGUCUGGGAAAGUAUCAUAAGGAAACCGUGGCCCCAUGGAACAGUGUAUAGAAGGGUGGGCUUGGAGACCAGAGAUAACAAGUAAAUAACCACUGUCUUAAUCCAGUUAAUCCUCACAAACACCCUAUGGGAUCACUUCCAUUUGUAAUCUUCCUUCUAGAGAUGAAGAAAUUGAGACAGAUUCAGUAAUUUACCCAACAAAUACAUGGCAGGGUAGGAUGUGAAUCUAAGAAGUCUGGCUCCAACGUCCUUCCUAUAAUCACUACAACAUUUUGACUGAACUGUUCAAUAAAUAUUUUUUGAGUACCUAUUAUGUACCAAGGGCUAGGGCUAGUCAGUAAGCAAAGACUGGGCAACUAUUCUUAGGACAUGCACAGCCUAGUGGGCAAGAUAAGCAUUAUUCCAACAAACAGCAGCAAAGGUAAGGAUUUACCUUAUUGCACACUGACAUAGUACCUAUUGUGUGCUUGAGGCUGUUCUCAGUGCUUUAGAUUUCUUGUUGUUCACUUGCUAAGUCAUGUCUAACUCUGCAACCCCAUGGACUGCAGCAUGGGUG